ACAUGCACCCCGAUGUGUAUACGGUCUCACAACACACGAAUACACGACUGUACAAACACAUGCCCAGCAUGUGGCAUCCAAAGAGUGUUAAAUGGUGUUACCAUCGGGUUCUGGGCGGGAGCCACGUCCUGGACUCUGCAGACAUCCUCACUUGGUGGGGGACUUCUAGAUCCAGCUACAGGGUAGGAGAUUAGGAGGAGGGUUACAGAAGGGUGAGUGGAGGCUGCUGUCUCUGUGAAUCCCUCUAGUAGAUGGUCUGGGGAUCCAAGGAUCCCUGGGGCCUGGGAAAGCUACGCUGGGUCCAUUCCUCGGGAAGGGGGACAUCCUGGAGGGAACUCUCACCCAGAGACUGCAAACCUCUGGGCAUGGAGAGUUGGGAGCCCCAGGUUCACGGGGCAUCUGGUUGUCAUUGAGCCCGCAGCUGGGGCCGGACUGAUGAUGAGGACAGGAAGACAAUAGAGUGGCAGCAGCGAUGGUCCUUAACAGGUGCGCAACACUUUGCAGUUUAUAAGCCACUUUGACACUUGUAAUUUCACACACUUGGUAACAGCUACUCUGAGAUAUUGGUGGUGCUGUCCCAUCUCUGCGACACAGGCAGGAGAGGGGACUUGAAGACCACACAGCAAGUUCCUGGCUGAGCUGGAACCAGAGCCCAAGGACGUGCCAGCACCCAGCUCUACCUACGAGCCUUCCACUUGGCCGGACUGCAGAAACUGGAAAGCAGACCACUGGGGCUUGCCUGGGUCCCUGCCUCGCUCUGUGAUAUUGGGGAGUAGCCAAGCGGUCCAUCUCUCCACCUGGAAAGCUGAGUGAAUCCCAGGGGUGUAUUCACCCAGCAAUUUGUGGCCACAGGGCUAGGGAGCGGUGGUUGCCAGGGGCCCUCAAGAAUGCCAGCGCAAGGACGAAGGGCACCAGUCGCUCCCCUCCGCCCUUGGCUAGCCACCAUCUCUCUCCAGCCACCACCCCACAACCCCCGCGCACCGUUCGCUCCGUGGCUCCGGUUCUUCGAUCCGGCCUCCAGGUCUUCGCUGACGCCUCGUCACUCGGGAGACGCGGCGAGCGGCUUGCCGUUGCCUUGGGAACCUCGCAGCAGCCCAGGCGCGCGGAGCACGACUCGGAGCGCAGGGCACUCGGCCUGCCCUGCUCGCAGAGUGGUCUUUGGUGUCUCAGAAAGAUAUCUGUCGCCAGCGGCGAAGGGAGGCCGCGUCGCAAGGUUUUGUCCUUCAGGCAAGCUCCUACUCAUCCUGCAAAACCCACUGGGGCAUCGUCUGAAGCCUUCCUAAUUGAAAUCCUCCUCUCCACUCUCUGCCAACCCAGGGUAACUACUCCCAUCUGUGCUAUAUUUAAUGCAUGCACAGACACCACCUCCCACAGUGCCCCAAGGGCUCCUCGAGGCUGCCUCUAGGUUCAACCUGUAAGGCACCGGCACACAGCUGGUAUUCUACAAAUGUGCUUGGAUCUGACAGUGGAGGAGAGGGUUGGCACGUUGGUUUCCUGCUGUGCAAAAACUGGACUACACUUGCCCUGCUGCAUGUCCCUCAAAAGAUAAUGGGGAGGGGGGUGCUUCCCGAACACCUGGGGCAGAACCGCAGGAAGAGAAUGGCUGCCCUCAGCCCAGGUUAGGGAAUGGACUUGACCGUGCCCCCGGAGUGGGACCUCGGGCUGCCUGGGAAGAGUUCUUUCCUUCCACAAGGGAGCAUCCACUCGUGUAUGCGUGUAAGGAAGCCACAGCGGCCCCUACUGACCUGCAGGGAGUCCCAGGAGCAGGGACCUAUAGCUCCCCAUUCUUUCCAGGGCCCUGCCCAGCGAAAGACAGCCAAUUAGGCGGUGAAGUAUCCUCAGGAUAGUGGUUCUCACUUUACGUCCACACUCUCCUUCCACACAGAAUUUGAGGCAAUUGGCAGAAUAUUCAAUAGGGCGGUGAAGUGUAACAAUGAGCUAGGACCAGGAAGGAAAAGAGAUUACUAUACACAUUUUUUUUCCCCUAUAAUUGAGUUACUCCCCCGUUCUCUCUCCUUUGAUUUUGAAUAUACAAUUUGCUUUGUUAAUGAGGAAAAAAGAACCCUUGCCCUUCCAGCUGAAGGAAAUUUCCCUCUUGGCUUCCCCCCAAUGUCAUUCCUACAGCAGACACAUUUGGGGUGUCGGGAAAGUGAGGCUCACAGGGACGAGGGAAGUGUCCAGAACCACCUAGCAUCAGGGACAGAGAGUGUCUGAUGGUGCAGGUGGCCAAAGUGCUGGCAUGGGCGAGGGCUGAGGGUUUUAAAUGAGCUCAUGAUUUUCCCUGUUCUCCACAGGGAGCUUUGAAAAAUGCUCCACCUUAAAGAUGGGGUAGGUAUGAGAAAGGCAGGGCUCGUUACUAAGAACAGAGUGGUAGAACUUUGGGGAGAGGGGUCUAUGUGACCCAGGGGAGCAAGAGACAAGUUUGAGCCUCAGUUUCCUCAUCUGUAAAAUGGGGGUGAUGAUGGGGCGCCUGGGUGGCUCAGUCGGUUAAGUAGCCAACUCUUGAUUUUGGCUCAGGUCAUGGUCUCAGGGUUGUGAGAAUGAGCCCCGAGUUGGGCUCCUCGUUCAGCAUGGAAUCUGCUUGAAAUUUUCUCUCUCCCUCUGCCCCCUCCAGUGCUUGUGGGCUCUCUCUCUCUCUCUCUAAAAUCAAUCAAUCAAUCUUUUUAAAAUGGGGGUGAUGAGCUCUCUGUCUUGAGACAGAGAGAGUAUUGGUUUCCUGGGGAGACUGGAAAGACUAGAUGCCAGGAGGACCAGGUCACUAGUUGGCAAUACUUUCCUCUUUAUUAUCCCCAUUAAAGAUGGGAAAGCUGAGGCCCAAGGGGAGGACUUGGCAGGCUCAAGGCCACUGUGGCAGGCCCAGGACAAGAUCUUGGCCCUGGGGCCACCCAGCCUGGGUUCUCUCCCUUCCACCACCAUGGCUCUCAGACCUUCCCUGGCCUUGGUCAGUUCUCCUGGGGGGGGGCAGUGCUGGAGAAAGAGAGGGAAAAGGAGACUUCUAGCCUUGUUCCAGCCCCUCCUGGCAGUUGGGACUGCUUCUCAGGAGGACAGAUGUUUCACCAAAUGGCAAAUGCACGUGCUUUUCCCUGGCUUGGGGAGGAGGUGGGCGCUGAGAAGGAGAUGCCAGCUGGUAGGGCCGAGAACCGUAGCCACACCUGAGGGGUUUAAAUAGCCACCGCCUUCUCUGGGCGACGCUGGAAGAGAGGCAUCUGGGCAGGACUGGGAGGGGGGAAGCAGGGAACAGACAGAGCAGCCCAUUGAGAAUCUGUCACAGCCCCGACAUGAGUGCCUGGCUCCUCCUCCCAGAGAGACUUGGCCCACGCACCUCACCUCCCUGGACCUCCAUAGCUGUCACCUGCCAAGUGAGGACAGAAAGCCUACUUGGGAGGGUGCCUGCCGAGGCUGAAUGGAGAGAGCUCACUAGCGUGCCUGACCCAUGCAUGGCACCCAGUCACUGUACUUGUUGGCUGUUGUCAUCCCAAUCUCCCUGCCAGGGCAGGGGCCCCCACUGCGGCAUCUUUGACAAAUGGGCACCCACCCCUGCUCACCCACCCACCUCUGGUACCAGAGAUCAUCUCCCACAGUGACCUACAGAGUAAUGUAUUCAUUUGUUUGCAUAAACCCUGGGGGUGCCCGGCUGGCUCAGUCGGAGGAGUAUGCAAUGCUUAAUCCUGGGGUUGUGAGUUCGAGCCCCACAUUGGGUGUAGAGAUUACUUUAAAAUAAAAUCGUUUAAAAAACGCACUAAUUGCGUAAACCCUGGAGUCAGACUGUGUGUUGGAAUCUAGGCUCCACUACUUAGUGUCUGCGUGACUUUAAGCAAAUGACUUAACCUCUCGGUGCCUCAGUUUCCCCAGUGUAAAGUGGGAAUAAUAGCGGUACCUCCCUCAUAGUGUCGUUUAGAUCAGUGCCUCUCAAACUUCCACGUGCCCAAGAAUCAGCCGGCGAUCUUCUUGAACUGCAGAUUGGAAGUCAGUGGGUGUGAGGUGGGGCUCGGGAUCCUGCAUUCCCAGCAGGUGAGACAGAUGCCACUGGCCUCGGACCACAUGCUGAGUCUCAGAGGACUGACUUGCCCUGGGAGUCAUGGUGAGGGGGCCAUGGGAGGUGACGGGUAGGGGAGUGACAGAUUCCAUCAUAGCAAAGCCUCUCUGGCUGUGGUGGGCAUGGGGGUGGGAGGAGGCCAGUGUUUAGGAAGAGAUGAAGGGCCUGCGUGGGACAAGGGCCCACUGGGGUCAAUAGGAGGGUGGUAAUAAGGGCCCUU
rnacentral:lncRNA from 1 species